rnacentral:rRNA from 1 species
UUUAGUCAGGCAACGAGCGAGACCCACGCCAACAGUUGCCAGCAUGUUCUCCGGAAUGAUGGGGACACUGUUGGGACCGCCUCUGCUAAAGAGGAGGAAGGAAUGGGCAACGGUAGGUCAGCAUGCCCCGAAUUAUCCGGGCUACACGCGGGCUACAAUGGUCGGGACAAUGAGCAACGACACUGAGAAGUGUAGUCAAUCUCCUAAACCCGUCCCAAGUUCGGAUUGUGGGCUGUAACUCGCCCACAUGAAGCUGGAAUCCGUAGUAAUCGCGUUUCAAAAUAGCGCGGUGAAUGCGUCCCUGCUCCUUGCACA